rnacentral:rRNA from 1 species
GACGAAGGGGGCUAGCGUUGUUCGGAAUUACUGGGCGUAAAGCGCGUGUAGGCGGUUGCCAAAGUCGGGUGUGAAAGCCUUGAGCUCAACUCAAGAAUUGCACUCGAUACUUGGUGACUAGAGGACCGGAGAGGAUAGUGGAAUUCCCAGUGUAGUGGUGAAAUACGUAGAGAUUGGGAAGAACACCGGUGGCGAAGGCGGGUCUCUGGGCCGAUACUGACGCUGAGGAGCGAAAGCGUGGGGAGCGAACAGG